AGUGCUACGCGCCUGCGAGCUCGCGCACAUACACAUAUACAUACAUACACACAUACAUACAUAUGCACACACACGUACACGCAGAAUCACACACACUCUCCUGGGACAUCAAAGCAUCAGCUCUCUGGACCUGGGAGCUCCAAGAUAGUCUAUCCGCAUCUAGGUGAGAGGGCACCUCGCCUGGGGACAGAUUACAAAAGCGUCCCGCCAGAGGAAUGCUUCAGGUAGAGCUAGGGGUGGAUUGCAAGAAGAGUACCUUCUUUCAAUCGCUUUUGCUAAACACACACCCUCACACGCAAAAACACGCCCUCCAAGGUGGAGUGAAACGGGGUGCGGGGGUGGGGACGGCGGUGGAAGGAAGAAGACUUUUAUUACUCAAUCUGGAAAGUGCAAAUACACACAUGAACCUGUUAGCCGAUGGGCCCACUCUGCAUGGGUGGUGGACGACGACCCUGGCUCAGGAUUCUGCAGGAAACAAGUGAUGAUAGAGGUGUCAUUAGGAACUUUAUGGAUAUUUAUGCGCCUCCCUUUCAUUGCCAUUUGGAAACUCCUCACGCAGAAGUCAAGGAAACUCCAAUCCCACUUAAACUUCAUUGCGGAGAAACAGAGUUCUGAAAAAAAAGCAGCUACCAUGGACCUCUCUUUUAAACGCAAGUACACCCACACACAUUCGGAUACCAAGGAAGGAAGGAAAGAAAGAAAGGAAAGAAAAGGGAGGGGAGGAAGGAAGAGCAAAGUCCUCUCUAAAAGUCUCAAUUAUAUAUAUAGCCUCUGAUUGUCACCUCUCCUCCGUCCCACCAUUUUUCGUACUUGUAUUGGGUGGCAGGGACACUUUUCAAGAGUUCUGUGUUCGAUUGUUCACUCUGAGUACCUCUCCACCAUCCUCCAGUCGUUGCCCUCAUUGGGAGAGAUGCUUGCUACUCUGCUAGUACCACGCCUUGGUUCCGGUCUUUACUGUUGGCUGGUAGGUCGGGAGGCACCUCUAGCAUGAGACAGUGUCUGGAAGCCAGGAUUUCCCUCAUCUAUAUGCGCCGGUCCCCAGCUCCCUGGUCGCCAGGGUUUCUCUCCAGUUGAAUUCCGUGUUCCUUCAGGUUGAACAGUAGCUUCAGCGGUUUUUCACGCUCAGAAAUGAUGAGGCCCAAUUCCAAUCUUCCCUCCCGCCGGAAGUAAAGCAGAUUAUUAUCCACAAUGUUGGUGAGCCUCAUCCAAAUUGUUGAAUACCUGAAUGGAACAAAAUUUCCAACCUCUGUGAGCAUGAAGAAAUUUUCUAGCAGACUGCCUUUCAACUUCACCUGCACCAUCAGCUUUCCAGAGUCUCCAUC
rnacentral:lncRNA from 10 species